rnacentral:rRNA from 1 species
AUUGAACGCUGGCGGCAUGCCUAACACAUGCAAGUCGAACGGUAACAGGAAGAAGCUUGCUUCUUUGCUUACGAGUGGCGGACGGGUGAGUCAUGUCUGGGAAACUGCCUGAUGGAGGGGGAUAACUACUGGAAACGGUACCUAAUACCGCAUAACGUCGCAAGACCAAAGAGGGGGACCUUCGGGCCUCUUGCCAUCGGAUGUGCCCAGAUGGGAUUAGCUAGUAGGUGGGGUAACGGCUCACCUAGGCGACGAUCCAUAGCUGGUCUGAGAGGAUGACCAGCCACACUGGAACUGAGACACGGUCCAGACUCCUACGGGAGGCAGCAGUAGGGAAUAUUGCACAAUGGGCGCAAGCCUGAUGCAGCAAUGCCGCGUGUAUGAAGAAGGCCUUCGGGUUGUAAAGUACUUUCAGCGGGGAGGAAGAGAGUAAAGUGAAUACCCUUGCUCAUUGACGUUACCCGAAGAAGAAGCACCGGCUAACUCCGUG